rnacentral:rRNA from 1 species
ACCAUGCACCGAAGCUGCGGCAGCGACACUCAGGUGUUGUUGGGUAGGGGAGCGUUCUGUAAGCCUGCGAAGGUGGCCUGUGAGGGUUGCUGGAGGUAUCAGAAGUGCGAAUGCUGACAUAAGUAACGAUAAAGCGGGUGAAAAGCCCGCUCGCCGGAAGACCAAGGGUUCCUGUCCAACGUUAAUCGGGGCAGGGUGAGUCGACCCCUAAGGCGAGGCCGAAAGGCGUAGUCGAUGGGAAACGGGUUAAUAUUCCCGUACUUGGUGUUACUGCGAAGGGGGGACGGAGAAGGCUAUGUUGGCCGGGCGACGGUUGUCCCGGUUUAAGCGUGUAGGUGUGUGUUCCAGGUAAAUCCGGUUCACUUUAACACUGAGGCGUGAUGACGAGGCACUACGGUGCUGAAGCAACAAAUGCCCUGCUUCCAGGAAAAGCCUCUAAGCAUCAGGUAACAUCAAAUCGUACCCCAAACCGACACAGGUGGUCAGGUAGAGAAUACCAAGGCGCUUGAGAGAACUCGGGUGAAGGAACUAGGCAAAAUGGUGCCGUAACUUCGGGAGAAGGCACGCUGACACGUAGGUGAAGUGAUUUACUCAUGGAGCUGAAGUCAGUCGAAGAUACCAGCUGGCUGCAACUGUUUAUUAAAAACACAGCACUGUGCAAACACGAAAGUGGACGUAUACGGUGUGACGCCUGCCCGGUGCCGGAAGGUUAAUUGAUGGGGUCAGCGCAAGCGAAGCUCCUGAUCGAAGCCCCGGUAAACGGCGGCCGUAACUAUAACGGUCCUAAGGUAGCGAAAUUCCUUGUCGGGUAAGUUCCGACCUGCACGAAUGGCGUAAUGAUGGCCAGGCUGUCUCCACCCGAGACUCAGUGAAAUUGAACUCGCUGUGAAGAUGCAGUGUACCCGCGGCAAGACGGAAAGACCCCGUGAACCUUUACUAUAGCUUGACACUGAACAUUGAGCCUUGAUGUGUAGGAUAGGUGGGAGGCUUUGAAGCGUGGACGCCAGUCUGCGUGGAGCCGACCUUGAAAUACCACCCUUUAAUGUUU